UACUAAUUAUGUAUAUGCUAUAUCUUAAUUAAUGAUAAAUCAUAUCUUCAUUCCAAAUUAGUCUUUGUUAUAAAUACAAUUUUAUCUUACAUAAAUAGUUCUCUUCUGAAAUCUAUCAAAUUGUGUUGACAUUAUUACAACUUAUAAAAACAUAUUAUUUAUUUGAAGGAGUUUAUAAGAUUAUAAUAAUUUGAAUUUGUAGCUGGACUAAUUUAAUUAUUUUGUUUGUACAUGAAUCAUCAUGCGUCUAAUUUAAUUAUUUUGUUUGUGCAUGAAUCAUCAUGCGUCAGUUUCUCAAUCCAACUUUGGUAGAAAUUUUAGGCCAUUAGGACGUUGUUUGGUAUGGUGGCCGUUUAUUGGCUUGGAAAUGGGAAUAAAAAUGUAAAAUGUAAUUCAUAUUUUUUUUUUUAAAAAAAAUAAUUGUAAUUCAUGUAUUAGAGGAAAUACAUUCUCAUAUAUGUUUUUUAAGAAAGAAAAUAAUAUUUGUUUUUGGUAAGACUCGGGAAAUAAUGAUAUCAACUGUAUUAAUUUUUCAUCAAAUUUUAUCGCAAAUCAUCGCUAAUCAUUACAAAAUUAUCGUUUUGCAUUGAUUUGACUUUUUUUUUGUUAUUAUAAGCACGUUUUAAAGGACUAUCGUUAAGCAUCGCUAACAUUAUCUAUUGUCUCAAAAUCAAUUUUUCAUAGAACCAUCAUUAAGCAAUAAUAAAGCAUUAUUUUUGCCUCAAAAAUUAUAUUUUAUGGGAUUAUCCUUAAUCAUUUAUUUAUAUACAGAGAGAGAAGGCUUGUGAGGGAAGAUAGAAAUAGAGUCAGAUGAGACUAUGGGAGGGACAAUUUUGUGAAAAUUCUAAGCAUGUCCACAUAAGUCAAGAUUGAGGAACGUGGAAUACAGCUUUAUCAAUAGCAGGACAAAGUUUCCUUACCAUGGCAAAACCGUCAAGCAACAAGUGAAAGGAGUUAAGCAAAUCGUCAAGAAGUUUGUACAACCAUGUCUAGCCGGCCAAGGGGAGUUCAUAGACCGGCCAGAGGAAAGUUAUAGGUCGGCCAGGGUUUGAGCACAAGUUGGUUGGCCAAUAAGGCUAUCACACCAAGAAAGGCUUGUUCGACCAAGGAAGCCUGACUUUUACAAGGAAAGUUGUACAAUAAAGUUAUUAAGGUUGGCCAACACAUACUAAGGCUAGCCAACACAUACUAAGACUGACCAACACGUACCAAAGCUCGCAGGCACAUGGAAAAGCUGACAGGCACAGAAAGCUGGCAGACACAUCCUAAGGCUGCAGGAGCAAUACCUAGCCGACCAUGGUACAGCAUAGGCCGGCCAGCCUCCAACAAAUGGUAGGUCGGGCAGCUUCUCUUCUGGCAGACACUUUUGGUGUCUUUGCAGCUUUCAACUUGGACAGAUACUCUCAGCUACGAGUUGGCUUCAACAACCCACAAAAAUAGGGGUUCAACUUCAGAUAUUUAUCUAUUCUUUAGGAAUAAUUAAUAGGUUAUUUUCUUAUAUAUUUAAUACGCAACAAAUAGGUGAUAUCUCCUCAUUUUAAGGGAUAUCAACCUACUUUGGCUUAGAUCUUCUGUAACCUCUCUCCUAUAUACUCUCAUAUAUAAAGAGCACUAGGCUAAACCUAAAGGGCUAAGUUCUAAUUCAUGAGUUCUAAGUUCUAACUCUGGAAACCCUAGAACACUUGCACUCUCUACUUCUCUCUCCCACACGCCACUUGCAUCAUACAAAACACUAAGUCACAUCUUCUCAUAAGUCCUCCAUAAGAACUCUUCAGUUCUUGAUGUGAUGAGUUCUUGAUGUGUCUAGCAUCAUUCUCACUAUUGUAAUUCAAAGAGAGCCAUCCUAGAACCUACAACACUUGUGAUCGGAGUGGUAUUAUCUAUCAUAUCAAUACAACUAAAAGGGAGAGUAGGCCAUUUCCCACUAAACAAAGGAGUUGAACCUCUAUAAAUUUUUAUUUCUCUUUUAUCA